rnacentral:tRNA from 1 species
GGAGGGGUGGCCGAGCGGUCGAAGGCGCACGCCUGGAGAGCGUGUAUAUGUCAAAAGCGUAUCGUGGGUUCGAAUCCCACCCCCUCCG